rnacentral:rRNA from 1 species
UAGGGAAUAUUGCAAAUGGGCGAAAGCCUGAUGUAGCAACGCCGCGUGUGCGAUGAAGGUCUUCGGAUUGUAAAGCACUUUUUGGAGGGAUGAGGAAGGACAGUACCUUCAGAAUAAGCCUCGGCUAACUACGUGCCAGCAGCCGCGGUAACACGUAGGAGGCAAGCGUUAUUCGGAUUUACUGGGCGUAAAGCGCGUGCAGGCGGUUUGGAAAGUUGGAUGUGAAAGCCCCUGGCUCAACUGGAAGAGGUCGUUCAAAACUUCCAGACUUGAGAGUGGUAGAGGGAGGUGGAAUUCCGGGUGUAGUGGUGAAAUGCGUAGAUAUCCGGAGGAACACCAGUGGCGAAAGCGGCCUCCUGGACCACUUCUGACGCUCAGACGCGAAAGCUAGGGUAGCAAACGG